GUGCCAGCAGCCGCGGUAAUACGUAUGGAGCGAGCGUUGUCCGGAAUUAUUGGGCGUAAAGGGUACGCAGGCGGUUUAAUAAGUCGAAUGUUAAAGAUCGGGGCUCAACCCCGUAAAGCAUUGGAAACUGAUAAACUUGAGUAGUGGAGAGGAAAGUGGAAUUCCUAGUGUAGUGGUGAAAUACGUAGAUAUUAGGAGGAAUACCAGUAGCGAAGGCGACUUUCUGGACACAAACUGACGCUGAGGUACGAAAGCGUGGGGAGCAAACAGGAUUAGAUACCCUGGUAGUCC
rnacentral:rRNA from 1 species